rnacentral:tRNA from 2 species
GUCUUUAGCUCAGUCGGUAGAGCAGCGGACUUUUAAUCCGUUGGUCGCGAGUUCGAAUCUCGCAGGAC